GUGAGGUGAUUCAGACCGCUUCUUCCAUCCCGCCCCCUUCCCUGUCACUGACACACACUCUCCACUCAGAACACGAACGGCCCAUCCCUGCACUCACCUGCCGCUCAUUCACACACUCUCUCAGUUGCCUCCUGCAGUAACAACGGUCGCAGAAAUUGAAACGCAACACACUUCCGGUUCCGCCCUCUCUCCGCUGCACGGUCUGCAGGAUUCCCGGAGGCGCGACCUGCCACGCAUGCUCAGCAGAGGCUUUGGGCUUGGAGGAUGCCUGCUGCCAUGAGUUUAGUAGCUUUCAUCUCUCACAAGUCUUCCACCAUCAGCCAUAGCUCUGCUACAGCCCCAGAGGUAUUUAUUUAUUCCCUUUCCUAAGAAUGUUAUCCAUGCCGUGGGAGGAAGUGAAUGUGUACAGCAACUUUCGCCAUGGAUGUGUUUGAAGAUUUGCACACACAGAAGCCUGCAGUUCAGGAAGGGACGCCGAGUGGGUGGUUUGGUGGGAGCCCAGAAGACCCCAGUGCUGACAGCAACGUGGAGACCUCCAGGAGACGGAAGCAGGCACUGAACAUCAGUAAAGUAUCAAAAGCUGCACUGGCAACUCUGAUUUUCCUUUUUGAAAAUCUGUCCUCACAUAGGAUUGAAAACACAGAAGAAAUGGACAGAUUCCUAGAGACGUAAAAGACAUAAAAGAAGACAUAAAAAUUUUGAGAAAACCAAUAUCAGUUAAUGAAACUGAAAAUGUAAUUUAAAAGGUACCAACAAAGAAAAGCCCAAGUCCUCAUGGAUUCACAACUGAAUUACAUUAGAAAUUUGAGAAGAAUUAAUGGCAAUACUCCUCAAACUUUUUAAUGAAAAUUGAAAGGGAAGCAAUUCUCCCCAACUCAUUCUUGGAGGCAAGUAUUACUCUGAUACCAAAGCAAGGGAAAGACCCAACCAAAAAAGAGAAAUACAGGCCAGUCUCCCUAAUAAACACAGAUGCAAAAAUCCUUGAUAGAAUACAGGUUACAGCAAAUCAUCAAGAAGAUUAUAUGCCAUGACCAAGUGGGAUGCAUCCCAGGAAUGCAGAGAUGGUUCAACAUAUACAAAUCAACAAACAUAAUACACUGUAUCAACAGAGCCAAAGAUAAGAAUCACAUGAUCAUCUCAAUAGAUCCAGAAAAAAUUUUGAUAAAGUCAAACACUCAUUCAUGAUUAAAAAAAAACCCUAAGAAAAUUGGAAUACAUGGUGUUUAUCUAAAUCUGAUAAAACCCAUCUAUGACAAACCAGCAGUCAGUAUCAUACUAAAUGGACAAAACCUGAAACAUUUCUCUCUAAAAUCAUGAACAAGACAAGGAUGUCUACUGAGCACUGUUAUUAAAUAUAGUUCUGGAAACUUUAUCCAGAGCAACUAGACAAGAGAAAUAAAGAAAAUGAACAACAGGAAAGGAAGAAGUUAAAUUAUCAUUAUUUGCAGAUGACAUGAUGCUCUACCCAGAAGACUCUAAAACCUCCACCAAAAUACUUCUAGAAUUAAUAACCAAAGACAGAUGCAUAACUGGAUACAAAAUCAACACUCAAAAAUCAAUAGUAUUCCUGUACACAAACAAUAAAUUCACUUUGAGAGAAAUUAGGGAAACCACACCAUUCAUAAGAGCAUCUGAAAAAAUUAAAUACUUAGGAAUAAGCCUAACAAAGGAAAUAAAAGGGCUAUACAUUUAAAAUAACAGCACUCUGAAAAAAGAAAUCAAAGAGAAUAUCAGAAAAUGUAAAGACAUGCCUUGUUUUUAGAUCGGAAGAGCCAAUAUUGUGAAAAUGGCCAUACUCCAAAAACUGUUACACAGAUUCAGUGUAAUCUCAAUCAAAGUACUAUCAGCAUAUCUUACAGAUCUAGAGAAAAUAUUCCUUAGGUUCAUUUGGAAGUAAAAGAGACCUAGAAUAGCAACAAAGGCAAAGCAGGAAGCAUCACAGUCCCUGACUUGAAGUUAUACUAUAAAGCUACUGUAAUAAAAUCAGCAUGGUCCUGGAAAAAAACCCAGACCUGAGGAUCAGAACAGAAGAGAGGAUGUAGACACAACUACAAACAUACUCAUCUACCUUAUCUUUGACAAAGGAGUCAAACAUGUUCACUAGAAGAAAGAUAGCCUCUUUAAUAAAUGGUUGGGGAAAACUGGCUUUCCAUAUGCCAAAGACUUGAACUAGACCCAUGUCUAUCACCAUGCACUAAAGUCAAAAUGGAUCAAUGAUCUAAAUAUUAAAACAGAAACCAUCUACUGGAAGCGAAAAUAGGUAGAAAUCUGGAAGAUGGAGGAGUAGGCAGACAAUUCAUAGAGAAAAAUCAAACUGCCUGGGAAGUACUUGAAAGAAUCAACAACUGGGAUCUCACCUUAUUAAAAAGUUUUUGUGCUUAAAAAGAAAUCAUUAUCAGAAUGAAAAGAAAACCCAUGUAUUGGGAAAAAAAUUUAGCCAACUGUCCCUCAAAGGAUUUAUAUCUAGAAUAUAUAAAGAAUUGAAAAAAUUCAGGUCCCCCAUAUUCAAAGACUCAAUUCAAAAAUGAGUAUGUCAGAUGAAAACACACUUCUCAGAGUAACAAAUACAAAGGGCAAAUAAAUGUAUGAAACAAUGUUCAGCAUUACUGGUCAUUUGGGAGGCGCAAUUUAAAACAAUCUCAACCCAGAAAGAAUGGCCAUCAUCAAGAAAUCAAGCAAUAACAAAUCCUGGAGGAACUGGGGGAAAAGAACCCUUCUCCACUGUUGGUGGGAGUGUAGAUUGGUGUAACCACUGUGGAAAUCAGUGUGUAGAUUUCUCAAAAAACUAGGAUUUGAGGUCCCAUUUGACCCAGCUAUUCCCCUUCUGGGUAUUUUCCCAGAAGAACUGAAAACAUCAUACCACAGCGAUAUAUGUGUACCCAUGUCUACAGCAGCACAAUUUGUAGUAGCUAAAUCUUGGAAACAACACAAACUCCCAUCAACUAAGAAAUGGAUUAAAAAAAGAUGUCAUAUUUUUAUAUAAUGGAGUACUACUCUGCUAUAAAGAAGGAUAAAUUCAAGGCUUUUAUAAAUGAAUGAGUGUAACUAUAGACCAUACUCAUAAGUGAAAUACAUCAAAUUUGCAUGUGUAAACAACAUAAUAUUUUCCUAGUGUAAGGAACUGAAAAAGUAAGGAAGAUCCAAAAUCUGCAAUAGAUAUUGUGAAGGAGAAACAAACUGCUCAAAAGGAAAGAACAUCCAGGAUGGGUCAAAAGAGAAAAGAAGGAAGGAAAAAGAAAUAUAUAUAUAUACACACAAAAGAUAGCUAAGUUAGUUAUAUUACUGAUUUAUUUUAGUUCAUUAAAAAAUGAUUUGUGCUUAUAUUGUUUGAUCAAUUAUGCAUGCCUAUAUCUUGUAGUCUGAGCAACUACUUAGAAGCUAACUAUAUGCAAUGUAUUAAUCAUUGUUAAUUUCCUAUUAUCUUGUUUUGAAAUUUAGCAUUUUGUUUCCUCCCUUUAAAAUAAAAAAUACUUAAAUAAAA